UACGUAGGGGGCGAGCGUUAUCCGGAUUUAUUGGGCGUAAAGCGUGCGUAGGCGGUUCGUUAAGUUUAAGAUUAAAGCCCGGAGCUCAACUCCGGUUCGUCUUAAAAACUGGCAGACUUGAGUGUGGUAGAGGCAAAUGGAAUUUCUAGUGUAGCGGUUAAAUGCGUAGAUAUUAGAAGGAACACCAGUGGCGAAGGCGGUUUGCUGGGCCAUUACUGACGCUGAUGCACGAAAGCGUGGGGAGCAAACAGG
rnacentral:rRNA from 1 species